CUGGUAUAGAAAAACUAUUUUACAAUCAAGCAAACUAAAUACACCGAACUAGAGUGAACAGUAGCUUGGUCUUGUUGGCAGUAUACAAAAAUAUGAAACCAGAAAUUAAACAUCAAAAGAUAGUGAUUUAGAUUUAGGCUUUAGCAACCCGAUCUCCAGCUAAGAGCAGCUUUAUCAUCUAAUCUCUAUGCAAACUCACCAAAAUUUAUUCUUCACAUAUUACAAGGUAGCAUGAACGACGGAAAUAGAACUACAUCGUUUACUUUCAUCAAAAACGCCACAUAAAAGCCACCGUGAAGAUACUGUAACACUUCAAAUCUGAAUGUGGAACUUGGAGGUGUAACGGUGUGUUUUUUAUUCAAACUGUGUUCAUGCUUCAGUUCAGAUUUUCAUCUUGGUUCGGAGUUUGUUUCGAUUUAGUUUGGUAUUCGUAUGAGUUCUUCUUAGAUUAGACUCGGAAACUUGGUUCAGAGUUCAAAGUAUUGAUUUGGACCAGCUUUCGACUCGAGUUCGUGAUCGGCUCGGUUAUUGUCCAUGGUUUUGGUACAGAACUUUAUCGGUUCUUGUUGUUAGUUUUGCCCAAGUCUUGGUAAAGAACAGAGGAUAGUUUAUGCUCCGUUUUUUUUUUAAAAUUUGGUUUACGGUUGAAUGAUUAUUAUGUUGUUGGUUUUUUUUCUGUUUUGGUUAUAGUAUAUUGAAUUAUUAUGUUUCAAUUGAGGUUCCAUAACUCGCACACCGAGUGCUUGGUGAAAUGCUUGAAGUGAAAUUCUUCUCUAUUUUUCCUUGUUUCAAUACUGUUUAGGGGUUCUUUUCCUCACUGUUUUGGAUCUUGGUGAUUCCUCUAGUGGUUAUGACUUUUUAACCGGGUUUUGGUUUUGGUAAUGAAUUUUUGUCGGUUUCUUGUGGUUUAUGGUGAAUUAUUGAUGAUGGUUGAAAUUGACGAUGGUGAAGGUCAAGUUUUGAUGCUGAAUUUUCUAUAGUUUUUGUUCAUGGCAAGGUUUGGAUUUUCAUGGUUAUCGUUCACUCAAGAUGAAAAGGAAGAUAAAUAUAUAAACAAGCAUGCAAAGAUAACUCAAACAAGCAAGCAAGAAAGCAUUCAUGGAGUGAUAAAUAGAGUUCGAGGCUUACUGAUCGGAGAACUUCCGAUGGUUCUUCAACGGCGGCGCAAAUUCAAUAUGUAUGAGGUGAAGUGUGGUGAGGGUUUAUGCUCAAAUUGAUUGAAGUUUCAAGGUGAAGCUUCAACAACCAUAGAGUUGACCUCUAGUGAGGGAAACUCGAAGAAUGGAGAAUGGAGAAUGAAAACUUGAGAGAAAGUGAAGAAUGAGUGGAAUCAAAAAAGUGAAGAAGAAGCUCCUUAGUGAGUGAAUGAUGAAUGCUUAUAUAGAACUAGGUGAUGUAUGAUUAUAGGUUGAAAAUUGAUUAGAAAUUAGUUGGGGUUGUUUAGGGCACUUUGGACAAUUGCUCAAAGUAGUUAGAAGUUAGUUUGUGGAAGUUUAAGAUAGUUAGAGUGAUUAAGGCAUGGAUGUAUGUGGAUUUUCAUGCAUGUGUAUAUGCUGAAUUUUUAGUGAAUAUGAAGAAAAUUGGAUGAAUUUACAUGGCAUCAUUUGAAUACAAGUUUGGGUAUUUAUAUGGUAUGAAUGAAUGACUCAUAGAUACACUUGGAUUGAUGUCCACUGAUAAAAUGAUGUAUCACAUGAAUGCUGAAUUUUUCUUUUAAUGCUCAUGAUUUAUGAGGUUUUACUUGUUGUAUAGAAGUAGAAUGAAAGUGAUACAUAAAGUGAUAUGGUUGUUAUAUGCUUGUAAUGGUUUUGUUUGUAUGGUAUAAACUAAAUUAUGUAAUAUGCUUGUAAUGACAUAAAGUCAUGUAAAGUGAAGUCAUGUAAGUGUAAAGAUAAUAUUUAGUGACUUUCGAACCUUAUGUAUAUGGAUUGAAAGACCAUGAAUAAAAAAAAAGGAAAUUAUAACUCAAAGUGUAUGUAUGGAAAUGAAUUCCAAUGAAUGCUUAGGGAAUUUACCCAUGAA